UACGGAGAGUGCAAACGUUGUUCGGAUUCACUGGGCGUAAAGGGCACGUAGGCGGCUCGGCAAAUCAGUCGUGGAAUCCCGACGCUUACCGUCGGAACGGCGGCUGAAAAUACCGGGCUUGAGGGCGUGAGGGGUCACUGGAACCCUUGGUGAAGCGGUGAAAUGCGUAGAUAUCAAGAGGAACGCCGGAGGCGAAAGCGAGUGACUGGCGCGUUCCUGACGCUGAGGUGCGAAAGCUAGGGGAGCAAACAGG
rnacentral:rRNA from 1 species